CUGGGCAGAAAGAGUCAAGAGUUGAUUGCCUUUAUCCAAUCAAGAACUAACCUGCUUUGAAGCUGGCUAUAGUUUUGCAAAGCUCCAUCAAUCUCUAAAUGUCUACUCCCCCUGGGGCCCCCUAGAGUUUAGUCUUGUGUAGCUUCCAGUUGAACAUCUAGUACGAUCACCAGAUUCAUUUUCUCAACAGUUCGACAUUAGCCUUGCUUUUUCAACUCUACUUCCCAAAAGUUUUAACGUUGCUUGCUUUUCUUUUUCUCUUUGUCUCUUUUUCUCUUUCUUUCAGAAUGUAGCAAAGAAAUUCUUCACUUAAAGCUUUGUUUUCAGCAUCAUAGUUUAUGGGUCUUUUCAAUUUAUUGAGACAGUCAUGAAGUAAGGUCAUAUCACACACAUUUUCUGCUGAGCCACAACGGGAACUCCAGUGAGAUGAUAUAUUUUAUCAUCUCCAUUCACUUUCAGAAUUUAGCAAAUGCAUUGGGGAGUAAACAGGUAAACAGACAAUUUGCUGACAUUCCUCAAGCUAAGACACCAUUUUUUUUUUUAGUCCACAAGAAGUUCUAUAUGUUUCUCCUUCCCUUACUAGCAGCCACUGCCUUGGCAGAGCCCCCAUUCUCUGCUUCCUACCAAUGACCCAGAAGUAGCAAAAUCUCCUGAGGGAAAGAGGAAAGAUCAAUCAUGAACUCAGAUUUCCGUGGUUUCCCCAUCUCUGAAAUUUUAACCAUUCUAGUUCUCAUUACUUCAAAAACUUUCUGACGCAUUUAAGCAGAAUUAUUUAAAUAGUUAUCCGUAUUUUCUAGCUGUUCUCAACAGGAGCACAAUUCUACCACAAGUAGCUCCAUCCUAUCUAGAACUCUCAUUAUAUUUUUGUUCAUUUAAAAAAAUGUAAAAAAUUCCAUCAGUUUCUUCAAGAGUUGUCAUGGAAGACAGACAGACAAAGUCUUAUAUUAAGUAGCUGAGAAGAGCUUUGUGCAGUGCGAAGGAAUUUACAAAGCUACUUCUAAUACUGUAAAAUCAUUAUGUUGCAGCUGAAGUAUAAUGCUGCACUGAGUAUGCAUGUCACAGGCUUUUAAAGUCUAUAUAAAAGACAGAGAGGAACAAGAAACUAUACCUGUUAUUUCCAGCGGGGGGAAAAAAAAAAUCUUAAUGCAAUGACCUGAAAGACUUUUACACCAAUUCUAAAAUAUAACGAGAAAAUGAUACAGGGAUGUUCUACGUUGCUCAUGUAUUUAGGGCAUGGAGUUGCCAUUUUUCAUCUUUUAAAAAUCUAUGUAUUUAGAAGAAAGUGCAAUAUUUUUACCAAAUGUGUAAAAUCACUCUGAUAUGUGUGUAAUUAUAUUUAUAAAAUUCUUCAAAAAAUACCAAUUUUAGGUGCCUGCUCUUACCUCUUAUUACUUAACCUUGCAAUAAUGGAUUUGGUCAGUCUAUCUGGCAGUAGCUAAAGGAAAAGCCGAAAAUUACUGCAAACCUCUGAAAGCAUUAAGUUUUCCAGAUCUAUUCAUUAAAGUAGACAAUAAGGAGAGAGAAUACAAAGUUACCUGUUCCUUUAUGGGAUAUAUUCUUAACAAAGAGAUGUCAUUUUGGAUGACUUUCCAACUGUUUAAGAGAUGUAGUCUUCUGUACAUAAUUAAAGAGUUCCCAUCGUGCUAAUAAUUGAAGAACUAAAAUGAUAACUUCUAAAUGAGAAAAAUUUACCUUAAUCCCCAAACCACAAGAUUAAAGAUUUGUUUUCAGCAUCAUAGUUUGUGGGUCUUUUCAAUUUAUUGAGACAGUCAUGAAGUAAGGUCAUAUCACACACAUUUUCGGAAAAAUAAUCAAGGUUCCUUGAAUCUUAAUCCUCCCUGAAUUUAUGCAAAGUCCAAAAACACAUGGCCACCUGUACCCUAAAUAAUAAAAGCAGAAAACACCAAGAAUUAAUAGAAGAAACUGGGAUAGAGAAUAAACUAAUAAUUAAGGGUCUUUGGUUUAAACAAGCACUAAUUUUGUGACCUAUGGCAAAUCAUUUAAGUUCUGUUAAUGAUGAGGUUGUUGUAAGAAACAAAUCAGAAGGUGUUUUUUAAAGAAUUACACUUUGAAAAAUGAGGCAGUUCUAUGCAAAUGCAAGAAUCAGUUUGUAUAACUCUAAGAGGCAUUUUUAUCUCAUUUCAGAAACAAACUAUCUUUGGGCACUUGAAAACCUCGCCAGCCUUCAUUUGCAUAAAAUUAUUAUUCUAAUUACAAAUUAUUUUCAUGUAUUCAUUAAAGCAGGUUCAUCAGGGCAUCUAUUAGGCAAUUCUUUAUUAGCUUAAUUCGAAUUACGUAUAUGAAAGUAAUAAAGCUGCAUUUCUCUUUCAAUAAUAAUUUCAGAAAGUCUCCAUUAAUCCAACUAACAGAAGUAUUACUCUAAAUUUUAUGUUCUCUGAAUGUGAGAGAGGAAAGCCUAAAAAUUGCAAAAACUAGUUCAAUGCAAACACCAACAAAGAGUUACUAAUACCUUCUUUGUUGCAAUCUAAAUACUGCAGAUAUGUUUUAUGUUCUAUUCCAGCACUUCCAUUUUACCGCCGGAGAAACAAGGCCUAUGUUCAAAAAGCAAAGUAAGAUAAAAAGACACUAAUACAUAACACUAAUUAACACGAAGAUAUCAGAACUUAAAACUCCCUGGUCUCCAGUUCAACUUACAUCUUGAUAAUCACUAGUUGCCCACCUGAAUUACCAACACCAGCAGGAUCAGGUAAAAGAGACGUUUCUCUCUGUCCCUUUGUAUUUAAAUAUGGCAAAUAAAGAAGUGUCUCUUCCUUUAUAGCCUGACAACUCUUAUUUCUUUUUCUCCUUCCACCCUCCCCUUCGGCCAACCAGAGUGGCAUUUCUUGAGUACUCCAGGUACUUCUAUUCCUCCUUGUCUUUGCUGUCCUCUUGGCCUGGAUUGUCCUCUGUUCAUUAAAAUCCCUCCCCCUUCAUUUUCACUGGGAAGGCUGUGAAUAAUGCCUUCCCAUUAUUCCAAAAGAUGCUCUACCUUAUAAUGGAUGAACUAUUCAUUGACCCAGCUCUUCAGCUAAUGUAUGAGUACCCUGAAAGCAAAGACAAUGCCUAUCUCCAGCAUCAUGGUGCUUGGCAUUAUGCUUAGAAGGCAAGGAGGUGAAUGAACAGAUGAAUAAAUGGAUGAAUGGAUGCUAACAGAAGAACUAGUGAUUGACUUAGUAUUUUAAAGCCAUGCAGGCUGGUAUCUAUAAGUAAGCAUACAUUUGGCAGGAGGGCAAAUUUAAAUGAUAAGAAAUCUAUUUAAUUUACAAAUCUAUCUUGAUGUAGAAAUAAUAUUAUCCAUCCUGAUCUGGUAUGAAAAACUUGAAUAUUAUCAUAUAAAACUUGAUUCAAUUUGCCACACCUUGGCUAUGAAACAUUAAAAAGACUUGUUUCCUCAAUAUUCUGUCAUUUUUCAUAUCUCGCCAAAUAUUUUUUUUUUUACUUUUAAAAGUUUUUAGGAGUCAUACCCAGGGGGGAGAAAAGGGCCAGGAAUAAAACGAGAGUGUAAUAGUUAAGAUAUUCAAGAGCCAUUUUAUUUUCGAAGUAACAUAAAAUUGUUAAAAAUCCUUCUUUUCGGAGUUUCCAUUGUGACUCAGUGGUAAUGAACCUAACUAGUAUCCAUAAGGAUGCGGAUUCAGUCCCUGGCCUCGCUCAGUGGGUUAAGGAUCCAGCAUUGCCGUGAGCUGUGGUGUAGGUCACAGAAGCAGCUGGGAUCCCACAUUCCAUGGUUGUGGCAUAGGCUGACAGCUGCAGCUCUGAUUCCAUCCCUAGCCUGGGAACUUCCAUACACUGCACAUGUGACCCUCAAAAAAUAAAGUGAAAUAAUUUUUUAAAAUAAAAUAAAAAUAGUUUACCUGCUACCUGAAAGUAGACUGUUCCUAUGAAACCUUUCAUAAGCAGCAGUGGUAUAAAGAAAAUAAGCAAUUACCUUUGGACACAUCCUGCUAGGAUGCACAAAAGACAUCGAGCCAAAGAACAGAUGCUCACAGACAGUUCAAAGUGACGGUGGCCUGAUGCUGAGAUGCCGAGUGUCGGUCCUUUGGAGGGGGCUCAGUUCUCGAGGUGCCUGAUGCCUCUGUAAGGCUCACUGCAACCACCUCUGCCCCCUAUUUCCACUUUUUUGCCUUUUUUUUGUAAAAGUGAAAAAUUCCCUUUGGGUUUCAGUUGAGAAAACAGGUACUAGUGCAGGUCUUGCGUAAAAGCAAAGUGGCAUCAAAUGAACUUUUGAAAAGAGGGAAUACCAUUGCCCUUUAUUUUUCAGAGAAAGUGUUUACAUCUCUCUUUCUUCAUAGGUGUAGACAAAAGGUUGGAAGGACAUACAAUAGAAUAUUAAAAGCAAAGUUAUCUUUGAUUGGUGUGAAUAUAGGUAAAUUUUAAAAUAUCUACCUCAAAAUAUGUUUGAGUUUUCUGAGUGUUAUCAAUGAAUAUUUUGUAACUAUAUUCAGAAAAAACACCUAUACAUUAUUGCAAUUUUAACAGGAAAAAAAAAAUUAAAUGUUGUAGGCGAAAGGACAGAAUUGAGCAUGGUUUUUCCUGAAGGGGAAUCCAGGGUGUCCCUAACUUACUUUGUGAACCUAGGUAGGCCACUUAAUGCUUCCAACCUCGGCUUCUUUAUUUUUAAAAGGAGGAGCUGGAAUAGAGGAGUGUUAAAAUGCCAUGUAGCUAUAAAAACCCUGGAACUCUAAGCAAAAAGCAAAUCGCUUUCAAGAGCUUUGGAAAUCGGUUCUGUUCUUUACAACCGACAGGAGAUAAACAGGAACCAAGUAAAUAAGGAAACCGAAGUUCAACUGCAAGAACCAUGGAACGCCCCCCCCCAAAGACCAAAUACUCUCACAUUACAAUAUUUUCACCCAAAUUCCUUACAUUCACAGAGUGGCCCUAGGUCCCCUGAGCCCAUUCCCAUGAAGGGUAAUUAACUAUAUGUUACAUGGGGGUUUUCUCAAGAUGCUAAAGAGUCAUUUGGGCAGGGAACAUAAAAGUUACACUAAACAAUAAUAUGCGAUUUAUAGUCUGGAUGUGGCACAUACUGUAUUGGCUUACUUUUAUUUCACAGUUAAUCUCCCAGCUCACAAAAGUUUUAUCGGAUUGGAGGCAUGUGCAGUAUUCCCUUUAUAAAAUUUUAUAGUCCCUUGCUAUUUUCAGGGGUUUGUUUUAUAGGCACAAUUUGCUGCUUUAAUCUCACCCAAUUGUCAUGUUCUAAAUCAUAGUGAAUAAAAAUGUCCUAAAAGGAGAGCUUGUGCUGAGGGUAGUACUUAAUUACACUUAGUGCCUGAUUUAAAUGUUAUCUGGGCAUUGCCAAGUGCUGGGCAUGGAGCAACUUGGCAGUGCCAAUCUGCAUAAGCCGAUACAAGUCAUUACUGGUGUUUGAAUAGCGGAGCCCACUCACACUGGGAUCACGUUCCGGUGGCAUUCUGAUGAAGGUGGGUCUUCCCAUCUUCCAUAAUUAUAUGUGAAAAUUAAGGCAGCUAAUGAACUCAUUCCAAUAGCUCAUGUUCCCAAAGUGGCAAAGCAUGGGUUUCCUCUGCAAGCCCAUCAUGGAACAAGGCCACUUCUGAUACAUCUCUGAGAGCAGCUCCACUCAUUGCCAUUCAGCCAAACGCCACUGAUGAUGAAGUGUGUGAAAGGAGAGUCUUACCUGGGAGUCAGUUAUGCUUCCCCAAAACCCAGGGAUGUUCAAAACACGCAUAGCCUAUUCAUUACCCUCUUUCCUUACAUGUGUGAAGGAGAAAGAUGAUCAGAAGUUUUUACCUACCCCCUUGAUCUGGCCCCUGAUGAUAUGACCCUACUUUCCAUUAAUGAAAUACUCCACCGUCAUUCGCACAACUGGUGUCCCCAACCUCCUUUGCCUGACCAAAAACCCCAACUAAUCUCUGAACAACAGUAAUUGUUUCAGGCAUGGGCUUGUGACCCACGGCAAACUGACCCCAAACCUCCCCAAGACUUUCCUGAAGGAGGGAUGACCUCUGGCUGCUUGGGUGACAAAGCUGGGAGCAGGUGAGUCCAGGGCUGUUUCUGCCUGGGAGCAAUGCCAAACAGGGAGACAGAUCUUAGAAAAAGUUUGAGUGUCUGGGUCUAGCCAUGCUUAAUACAACAUCAUCCAAGUUUCAUGAACCAGGGCAAUAAAUCUUCAUUUUGUCUUUAGUGGGAUUUCACUUUCUGUCAUUUGCAACAGAAGUUCAGACUGAAAAGAGACAUUAUUGUAAAUGGAACAAUGCAUUUUGUUCAGAAAAUCGACACUAUUUGCACUCCCUUUUCUUUACUGAGCACUUCCCAAGUAGCGCAGUUUUGGAAAAAGAGAGAAAAUAUGAUCACAUAUUCCAAACAGAUGUUGUCAUCCAUGACAAAUAUUGCUUUCACAUACCCCAAGGUAACAUUAGCUAACUCCCCAAGGACCAGUCCAAGCAACAAAUGGGAAAACAUAUGGUAAGCGCUAAGUAAAUGGAAACGAGCAGAAGUCAUAGUAAUAUCUGGAACA
rnacentral:lncRNA from 1 species